UAAUUCGCUUUGCUCUGGUUUGUACGCAUCGACUGUAGUUCUUUCUUAUCUCAUCUUGUACUUUCUGUGCUCUACUACAAGUUGGCUUUACUUUUGCAACGCUCCAGAAAUGACGAGAAUCACCGUAGAAAUGAUCCGAAAUGCCCUCGAGUUUAUAAACCCUUUGAAUCAAAGAGAACUGGAUUUGCGAGGUAACAAGGUUCCACAGAUCGAAAAUUUGGGGUCAACGAAUGACUUAUAUGAAGUCAUCGACUUAUCUGAUAACAUUAUCAGCAGAUUGGAGAAUAUUCCACAUUUGACACGUUUGACUACUUUAUUUCUGAAUAAUAACAAAAUUACGCGAAUUGCUCCGAACUUGGGAGAAUCAACGCCAAACUUGAUUUCGUUGACCCUCACCAACAACCGACUCUCUGAACUCGCCGAUAUCGAACCUCUCGCUGGUAUCCCGUCUUUGGUAUACCUUAGCCUUGUUGGCAAUCCGGUUCAAAAAAAAGCGCACUACAGACAAUUUCUGAUAUCGAAGUUGCCUUCUUUGCGAGUGCUGGACUUCAAGAAGGUAAAGAAAUACGAAAAAGAGGAGGCGAUCAAGCUUUUUCAAUCGAGUCAGGGCAGGGCACUCGAUGAGGUGAUUGUACAGAAGUCUAAAAGCAACACAUUUGUUCCUGGUGAGGAAGUGCAAGAGGAAAAGGAUCAGACAUUUACCGCCGAAGAGAAAGAGAAAAUUAGCAAAGCAAUUUUGAACGCCAAAAGUAGCGAAGAAUUAAACCGUCUAGAAGAACUUUUACAAAAGAAGAAAGUGCCGAAAUAGGAGUUACAUAGGCGGAUGUUGAGCACUCUUCAUGAUCGGAAAUAUGUUUGAAGGCUGCAAGGGAAGAAAGGAUUGACAAAACAUCGAGCUUGAUUGUUUCCGUACACAAAAGAGACUGUGAAAAAGGGUUUUAAUUAAAUUUUAGCUUUCGCGCAGGCGAAAGCUUCUUGUGACUGUGCUCAGACAAUUGAAUGUCCCAGACGUUGACGGCCGCGUACAGUCCAUGACGGGAGGUGUUCAAAAGUUUUGACAGGCUAUGUACAGCAUGAAUCGACUAUCUUCGGCUUUGAUUCUGGAUGUUUUUUUUGGUUACUUUAAUAUAUUGCGGCUAGCGUGUCUAGGGGGGUGCGCAUUCACUCACAAAGUAUGAGACUAGAUUAUCGUUUUUAUUAAGCAUCUGGAGCGUAUUUUGACGUCCCCAACUGCGAUUGUGCGCAUUUGUUUUGGUCGUAUAUUCCAGCUACAAAGAACAGAGUUUUUGUUUCGGAGAGAUUCAGUGCAAACUGAGGGUGCUAGACAGUGCGAUGAGUAAGGCGAACUACAUAUGAUCGAAUCGCGCGAAUUUGUAUACAGAUCAAUAACUGUUCUUUUUGCGUAAUCCGAGACUAUAGCUGAUGUCGAUUUGACGGGUCAGACAGUUUGGCCGGCAUCCUACACUUUGGCUUACUAUCUCGCGCAUCAUAGAGACAAGCUUCGGGACGUGGAUGCCAUUGAAUUGGGGAGUGGGACGGGGAUGGUCGGGAUUGUUGCCGCUUCAUGUUGUCGUACGGUGACUGUUACGGACAACCAGAAAAUUGUGUUAGAUUUGUUGUCCGAAAACGUUCGACACUACGCGCCGCCUGGUUCUGUGUGCGAGUGCAAAAAGUUGGACUGGACUAGUCAGGUGGACAGAGAAAAAUUCGGAAGGCACCAAUGGGAUUUGGUGCUAGGAGCCGACGUCGUCUACCAGCUACAUGACGUUGUGCCCCUGCUCGACACCGUUAAGUAUUUGUUGUCUUACAAUCCGGACGCGCGGUUCGUUUUGGCCUACAAGCAGCGAGCGGCAAACACCGAGGCCUUUUUAUUGAAGACAGCCGUCGAGCUUGGAUUUUGCAUUGAGGAAGUCGACACGCGCAAUUUCGUGCCGACAGGAAAAUCAGAAAGCAAUUGUGUUUGUCUAAAACUGCUGACCAGAAAAAAAUAAAAUAGGGUUCGCCGCAAAUAUGGCGUUCAUUUUUUUCCUAGUGUUUAUACAAGCGACGCCUGCCCGCGGUUGAGGAGGGGGAGCGAGGCUGCACAGGUGGUAAACUAGAGGUACAUCUACGGGUGUUGCAGGAUGCUGCGUAGAAGCAUGCGUGUAUGACGAUCGACGCACGUUGUUUUUGCCACGUUUUGGAUGUGCGACAAGAGCGCAUGGAAGACAUUCGAUACGACGUGACAAUUAUCUUGUCGCAUGUAGAUGAGACGCGUGCUGGUCUGGCUGCAUUCUGCCGUGACGCUGCACCCACUGUUUGCGCUGAGUUGGCUCGGCUUUCAGUCGUGCUUGUUUGUGUGGUCGUUGUAUGCUUGGGGUAUAUUGAGAGGCGAGUAUGAACGUACUUCUUUCGAAGAGAUAAGAGACGUGCCUAGAGUGAUUGUUUGGCGUUGCGUUUCGGCGUCUACAGUAUCUUUAAUACUUGUUUUGGUCUCACCAUCGUCGUGGGCGGAGAUGGGCUUCCCGUCGGAGUCCCUUACACACCUGUUUGGAGCACUGUUUGGAGCGCUAGCGACGGUUUCACUGUUUAUUGGGCCGGUGGUUUGGCUCGUUUUGAACAUUGGCGACCAGGAGCGACCUACGUUCUGCAUACAGACGCUUAGGAACUACGCGUUGGCGCCUUUUUUUGAAGAGAUUGUCUUUCGUUCAUGCAUGUUGCCGGUUCUGAUUAAGGCUGGUUUCUCGGUUCGAAGUGCCAUAUGUUGUACGCCCGUUUUCUUUGGACUGGCGCACGUUCAUGCGAGAUCGGAAGCGAGAGAGCAGUUCACAGUGUUGAAAGUGAAGCAUUUUAGCGUUAAGUGUCGACUGGCGCUUGUCCAUUCUCUCGUGCAAGUGGCGUACACGACGGCAUUUGGAAUAAUGGCGAGUUGUUUGUUGGUCAGGACGGGGACGUUCGCCGCACCGUUUGUAUCGCAUUGUCUGUGCAACUACCUGGGCCUUCCGACGCUCGACUUUGUGAGGCAUCGCCGUGCGAAAUGGAUUUGGACGCUGUACGUGGCUGGUCCGGUGUUGUUUGUGCUCUUGCUCGAUUGGUCUGCAAAUUGGUUCUCUUCGCCGUAUGUCCGGAUAUGAGCGCGGCGCGCAAUUCCCGUUGGCGGGCGUGUAUAUGUGCGUGAAGCAAAUGUUGGAAAAAAGUGCGAAUGUUUUCGUGUAUGGGGCAGGAUAUUUUCAUCAGCGCGUUGUCAGAUGUAUUUGACGUUGCGGUCGUAGGCGUGCAUGUCGUAGGGAGAGUGGAUGAAGGUGGCCAAUUCUCUGAUGAAUUUUUCUGUUCUAUCAAAAAAAAAAGCUUGAAGUUCGCACAUCAUUUUUUGAAUACCUCUUCCGGUGGUGUGGUUGGUCAGGAGUGCGUGAAGCUCGGGCAGGUUUUCGCUUACCAGCGCCUUGGUCAGUUCGGAUAAAAUGAGGGUUUCCUCCUUUUGGAGUUGAGAAUUUGAGUAGUUGGUUGCCAUCUCUCGGUGGUGCAGCAGCAGACAAAGUUCUCGUUGCAGCCACGUGUCCAAUUUUGAGGAGAGCUUUUUGGUCAUUUGGACCGCUGCGACGUUGAAUUCGAGCAGGGGCUGGAGGUUUUGUGCAUAAACGAGUCUUCUGUGGUGCAGGCCGAGCCUAAACAUUUUGUGCGUUGGCUCUUGUUGUAUGCGAGUUUUAUAGAAUUGAGACCAGUGGGGUGGGGCUUCUGUGACGACGGAGACGCGUUCGUACGUUUUUUGGUCGAGGUCCAGGUUUGUUAACACGGAGGUGAAGCGGGUUCUGCAGAUGGGGCAGGGGGGGGCUUCGCCGUGAUUGCCGUUGAGGUGGUGUUGAAAUUCGGUCC